rnacentral:rRNA from 1 species
UCGAGAAUUUUUGACAAUGGGGGAAACCCUGAUCGAGCGACGCCGCGUGGAGGAUGAAGGUCUUCGGAUUGUAAACUCCUGUCAUUGGGGAACAAGGUGCAUACGUUAACUGCGUGUGUAUUGAUAGUACCCGAAGAGGAAGAGACGGCUAACUCUGUGCCAGCAGCCGCGGUAAUACAGAGGUCUCAAGCGUUGUUCGGAUUCAUUGGGCGUAAAGGGUGCGUAGGCGGCGCGGUAAGUCGGGUGUGAAAUCUCGGAGCUUAACUCCGAAACUGCAUUCGAUACUGCCGUGCUUGAGGACUGGAGAGGAGACUGGAAUUUACGGUGUAGCGGUGAAAUGCGUAGAUAUCGUAAGGAAGACCAGUGGCGAAGGCGGGUCUCUGGACAGUUCCUGACGCUGAGGCACGAAGGCCAGGGGAGCAAACG